rnacentral:rRNA from 1 species
AUUGAACGCUGGCGGCAGGCCUAACACAUGCAAGUCGAGCGGAUGAGAGGAGCUUGCUCCUUGAUUUAGCGGCGGACGGGUGAGUAAUGCCUAGGAAUCUGCCUGGUAGUGGGGGAUAACGUCCGGAAACGGGCGCUAAUACCGCAUACGUCCUACGGGAGAAAGCAGGGGACCUUCGGGCCUUGCGCUAUCAGAUGAGCCUAGGUCGGAUUAGCUAGUUGGUGAGGUAAUGGCUCACCAAGGCUACGAUCCGUAACUGGUCUGAGAGGAUGAUCAGUCACACUGGAACGGAGACACGGUCCAGACUCCUACGGGAGGCAGCAGUGGGGAAUAUUGGACAAUGGGCGAAAGCCUGAUCCAGCCAUGCCGCGUGUGUGAAGAAGGUCUUCGGAUUGUAAAGCACUUUAAGUUGGGAGGAAGGGCAGUAAAUUAAUACUUUGCUGUUUUGACGUUACCGACAGAAUAAGCACCGGCUAACUUCGUGCCAGCAGCCGCGGUAAUAC